rnacentral:rRNA from 1 species
UACAGAGGAGCCAAGCGUUGUCCGGAUUGACUGGGCGUAAAGCGCACGCAGGCGGCUGCGCGCGUGGGGUGUGAAAUCUGGCCGCUUAACGGCCAGGCGCCAUCCCAUACGGCGCGGCUUGAGCCUUGCAGAGGGCGGUGGAAUUGCCGGUGUAGUGGUGAAAUGCGUAGAGAUCGGCAGGAACACCCAGGGGGAAACCAGCCGCCUGGGCAAGCGCUGACGCUGAGGUGCGAGAGCGGUGGGGAGCGAACCGG